GAUGAACGCUGGCGGCGUGCUUAAUACAUGCAAGUCGAACGGAAAGGUCCUGCGUUUGUGGCUCUCUCGUUUGGCGAACGGGUGUGUAACACGCGUGUAUCCUGUCCUUGUCUUUGUGAUAACUCCUCGAAACUGGGGCGAAUAUCGGGUAGGAUCUCUUGCUGCAUGGUGGUCGAUGGAAAGUUUCGGCUGUGGGGGAUCGUCUGGCGGCUUAUCAGCUUGUUAGUCUGGUUGUGGCUUACCAAGGCUUUGACGGGUAGCCGGCCUGGGAGGGUGACCGGCCACAUUGGGACUGCGAUACGGACCAGACUCCAACGGGAGGCAGCAGGCGGGAAUAUUGCACAGUGGGCGGAAGCCUGAGGCGGCAACGCCGGGAGCGGAAUGACGGCCUUCGGGUUGUAAACAGAUUUCGAAUGUGACGAAGAGUGAGUGACGGUAAUGGGUCAGGAAGCAACGGCUAACUACGUG
rnacentral:rRNA from 1 species